rnacentral:lncRNA from 1 species
UAGAUUUAGAAGCAAGAAAUAACUCGAGCCAAUCACAGUUGAUUUUGACGGCAAAGGUCACAUAUUCACCACUCUCAAGAGCAGGAGCUUACCCAGUCGACUCGAUAAGACAAUACUUGAAUUGGGUUCAUGUUAUCACUGCUGAAUACUCACGCCCUAUGUGGACAAAUUUAACUGGUGCUUAUGCGGCACUAUAUAAUCCAAAUAGUGUCUCUAACACUGAAUACGGAAUCACCGAAUGGAUUGAGGAAGGGUUAUCUGCUGAUAAAUUGGUUUUAUGUUUGCCUUUCUAUGGCUAUGCAUGGACGCUUGUGAAACCUGAGGACAAUGGUAUUGGUGCAGCAGCAACAGGACCAGCUUUGCAUGAUAAUGGCCUCGUGACUUAUAAGGAAAUCAAGAAUCGCAUCAAGCACUAUGGUCCUAACGUUCAAGUUAUGUACAAUUCAACUUAUGUGAUGAAUUACUUCUCGAUUGGGAAGAUUUGGUUUGGUUUUGAUGAUGUCGAAGCCGUUAGAGUGAAGGUUUCAUAUGCGAAGGAGAAGAAACUACGUGGUUACUUUGUGUGGCUAGUUUCCUAUGAUCAUUAUUGGAUGCUUUCUCAAGCUGCAGGUAAGCAAAUGCAAAGCCUCAGUCACUGCCUGCUAUCCAUUCGAUCAGUUCUCUGCAUAAUGACUUCAAUUAAGAUCUUUAUUUGACCAUCAAAUGUUUAACUAACACAAAGUGAUUUGACUUUUCAGCUCAAGAGGAUAAUAAGAAUCGACAAAGUAAGCGACUAUUAUGGGCAAUUGUUUUGCCUAUAACUGCAGCUUGUAUUCUUCUAAUUGGUUUUUUACUGUAUUACUACUGCUGGAUGAAAAACCUCAAAUUAAAAGGUAACUUCUUCUACACGGGAUUAGGAAUAUUUUUACUUCCAUUCCAUUUAACACAGAUGAAGAAGUGGGCAAUUCACUUAAAUUUGCUUUCUUUCUCUUGGUUGAUAUUAAUUGGACCGUAAUUGACUCAGCCAAACCAUCAAAGGACAGCGCAACUAGUCAAGCAGAUGCUGGAGAUUUUAACAGCAAUGAUCCUGAUCUCAGAGAAUAUAGCUUGGCUGAUAUUGAGGUGGCCACGGAUAGAUUUUCAAUCGAAAAUAAGCUCGGGGAGGGUGGAUAUGGUCCUGUUUACAAGGUUAUGUAUCGGUAGCUUGGUUAUCUCUCAGCUUAUUAAUUAAUUAGUAUUGGAAUUCUCUUUAAAGAGUGGCGAGCUGCCGUAGAUUUAGAAGCAAGAAAUAACUCGAGCCAAUCACAGUUGAUUUUGACGGCAAAGGUCACAUAUUCACCACUCUCAAGAGCAGGAGCUUACCCAGUCGACUCGAUAAGACAAUACUUGAAUUGGGUUCAUGUUAUCACUGCUGAAUACUCACGCCCUAUGUGGACAAAUUUAACUGGUGCUUAUGCGGCACUAUAUAAUCCAAAUAGUGUCUCUAACACUGAAUACGGAAUCACCGAAUGGAUUGAGGAAGGGUUAUCUGCUGAUAAAUUGGUUUUAUGUUUGCCUUUCUAUGGCUAUGCAUGGACGCUUGUGAAACCUGAGGACAAUGGUAUUGGUGCAGCAGCAACAGGACCAGCUUUGCAUGAUAAUGGCCUCGUGACUUAUAAGGAAAUCAAGAAUCGCAUCAAGCACUAUGGUCCUAACGUUCAAGUUAUGUACA